rnacentral:rRNA from 1 species
AUGGCAAUCGAAGGCGGUGUUGACUUGAAUGACGUGGUAGUAGUGGACGAUGCCGACCCAUCCGAAAGAGUUGUCGAUGAAUUAGUCGUUGUUAAAGCCGAUGUAGUACGUGUGGUCGACGGAGCCUUGCGCGAAGCGGACAGCAAGAGCGAUGACAUCCCUCCCUCCUUGAGAAUGUUCUUGAUCGGAGCAGGCAGAGAACACCAUACCACUCAUGGCUUGUGCUCUCUUGCUGAUUACCUCCGCCCUUAUAAUUGUCGACGAUUGAAGAGUAGAAGCUGGGGAGGUGACAACACAGCGGGCAACCAAGAUCAUGGCGCACCUUCCUCCGUGAAAGAUCUUCCACCGAGUUAA